rnacentral:snRNA from 1 species
GUGCCUGCUUAAAGCAGCACAGAGAGCAAAACUGGAACAACACUGAGAUGAGCAUGGCCCGCUCAAGGCCGACACACCAAUUCAUGGGAUGUUCUCUCUGUGU